GUACUUACUCCUACGGGAGGCAGCAGUGGGGAAUAUUGGACAAUGGGCGCAAGCCUGAUCCAGCCAUACCGCGUGGGUGAAGAAGGCCUUCGGGUUGUAAAGCCCUUUUGUUGGGAAAGGAAUCCAGCCGGCUAAUACCUGGUUGGGAUGACGGUACCCAAAGAAUAAGCACCGGCUAACUUUGUGCCAGCAGCCGCGGUAAUACGAAGGGUGCAAGCGUUACUCGGAAUUACUGGGCGUAAAGUGUGCGUAGGUGGUCGUUUAAGUCCGUUGUGAAAGCCCUGGGCUCAACCUGGGAACUGCAGUGGAUACUGGUCUACUAGAGUGUGGUAGAGGGUAGCGGAAUUCCUGGUGUAGCAGUGAAAUGCGUAGAGAUCAGGAGGAACAUCCAUGGCGAAGGCAGCUACCUGGACCAACACUGACGCUCAUGCACGAAAGCGUGGGGAGCAAACAGGAUUAGAUACCCCUGUAGUCCAGGCAU
rnacentral:rRNA from 1 species